rnacentral:rRNA from 1 species
UUAGAGUUUGAUCAUGGCUCAGAACGUACGCUGGCGGCACGCCUAACACAUGCAAGUCGAACGAAGUAGCAAUACUUAGUGGCAGACGGGUGAGUAACAUGUAGGUAUCUGCCCUUUGGCCUGGAAUAACACGAGGAAACUUGUGCUAAUACCGGAUAAGUCUUUACGGAGAAAGCUUUAUGCACCAUUGGAUGAGCCUGCACUUGAUUAGUUUGUUGGUGGGGUAAUGGCCUACCAAGACUGUGAUCAAUAGCUGAUUUGAGAGGAUGAUCAGCCACAUUGGGACUGAGACACGGCCCAAACUCCUACGGGAGGCAGCAGUGGGGAAUCUUGCACAAUGGAGGAAACUCUGAUGCAGCGAUGCCGCGUGAGUGAAGAAGGCCCUUGGGUUGUAAAGCUCUUUCGUCGGGGAAGAAAAUGACUGUACCCGAAUAAGAAGGUCCGGCUAACUUCGUGCCAGCAGCCGCGGUAAUACGAAGGGACCUAGCGUAGUUCGGAAUUACUGGGCUUAAAGAGUUCGUAGGUGGUUGAAAAAGUUGGUGGUGAAAUCCCAGAGCUUAACUCUGGAACUGCCAUCAAAACUUUUCAGCUAGAGUAUGAUAGAGGAAAGCAGAAUUUCUAGUGUAGAGGUGAAAUUCGUAGAUAUUAGAAAGAAUACCAAUUGCGAAGGCAGCUUUCUGGAUCAUUACUGACACUGAGGAACGAAAGCAUGGGUAGCGAAGAGGAUUAGAUACCCUCGUAGUCCAUGCCGUAAACGAUGUGUGUUAGACGUUGGAAAUUUAUUUUCAGUGUCGCAGCGAAAGCGAUAAACACACCGCCUGGGGAGUACGACCGCAAGGUUAAAACUCAAAUGAAUUGACGGGGACCCGCACAAGUAGUGGAGCAUGUGGUUUAAUUCGAAGAUACGCGCAGAACCUUACCAACACUUGACAUGUUCGUCGCGACUUUAAGAGAUUAAAGUUUUCGGUUCGGCCGGACGAAACACAGGUGCUGCAUGGCUGUCGUCAGCUCGUGUCGUGAGAUGUUGGGUUAAGUCCCGCAACGAGCGCAACCCUCACUUUUAGUUGCCAUCAUUAAGUUGGGCACUCUGAAAGAACUGCCAGUGAUAAGCUGGAGGAAGGUGGGGAUGACGUCAAGUCCUCAUGGCCCUUACGUGUUGGGCUACACACGUGCUACAAUGGUAUCUACAACAGGAAGCAAAACGGCGACGUUAAGCAAAUCCUUAAAAGAUACCUCAGUUCGGAUUGCACUCUGCAACUCGAGUGCAUGAAGCUGGAAUUACUAGUAAUCGUGGAUCAGCGUGCCACGGUGAA